AGUUGCAAGACCAAAGCCGUUAUCAACAGUAGCAAGACAAGCUAAUGCAGGAAAUGUGCAUACAAGAGCAACUUUCAUCAGUAAUGUAUUGUCCAAAAUUGGAGAAGUGUGGGUAGGAAAUGAGCAGAAAACCAGUUUCUCACAAUAUGAUAGCCCUAGAGCUACAGAACCACCAGCACAUCCUCUCCCUGCUGCAGAGCUGCCCGAUGCAUUUGUUGGGACACCAGUUACAAAAUUCUCACAGAAACGUUCCAGAUUGCUGGACUUGGUGGUUCGUCCUGUUCCUUCAUGUUCUGCAGCGCAGGGUGGUGGCUGGCAGUCACCAUGCAGAGAUUCUACUCCAUUCAUGGCAUCCAGCCCACUGAAUUCAAAUCCGCAUGGUUCCGUCUCACAGAAGAAGUUUUUGAGAGCAUCGGAGCUGAAUUUGCUAGAGACUCCUCUGGUGGUUAAGGUUUGUGUUCUAUAAAGCCAGUAACAACCAACCAAGCCAAAAGAAUGUCAACUUUGUUUAAAAUGAGCCCACUAAAGUAUUAACAAAGACAAACACUGCUGGAUUCAAGUUGUGGAAUCUUUUCAGCAUGCGUGUGGUUAUUGUACAUUCAGUCCUUUUGGAAGCAGUAUGCUGGGAAUAGUCUUGAAUAUGGGAAGCUUAGUUCCAAGUUAGUUGCAGUAUGCACAAUGUCCC
rnacentral:lncRNA from 1 species